rnacentral:rRNA from 1 species
GACGAACCACACAAACGUUUAUUCGGAAUUACUGGGCUUAAAGGGUGCGUAGGCGGCGCGGAAAGUUGGGUGUGAAAUCCCUCGGCUCAACCGAGGAACUGCGCUCAAUACUACCGUGCUCGAGGGAGACAGAGGUGAGCGGAACUUAGGGUGGAGCGGUGAAAUGCGUUGAUAUCCUAAGGAACACCCGGUGGCGAAAGCGGCUCACUGGGUCUCUUCUGACGCUGAGGCACGAAAGCUAGGGUAGCGAACGGG